GGGGAUGUGGCUCAGUGGUAGAGCACUUGGCUGGCAUGUAUGAGGCCCUGGGUUUGGUCCCCAGCAUCACAU
rnacentral:tRNA from 1 species